AGAGGCUUUACAUACGAUGAGCCAUUCAGAAAAGAUAUUGAUCAACUCCAAAAUUGAAAAAUAAAGAAAGGACGAAUAUAAAUGCUUCUGCGGUAAUGCGAAAUUGAAAUAAAUUAAGAGCGUUAAUGAGAUUAAUGAUAAUGUAUUAACAAAGCAAAUUGAAAGGAAAGAAUUAAUUAAAGCUCGGCCAUAAAUAAAAGUCGAAAUGAAAGUCAUAGAAGAUUUGAACGUAUUUAUAAAAAGUAACAGCAGAUUCAACGAUAUAAAAUUUCAUAUCUGCUCGCAAAAGAAUUUUUCAAGAUAAAAUAUUGUGUAAUAUUCGUAUACCUCCACACAGUUUCAACUUCAGUGAUUGCGUGAGCUACGUAGAAAGCGUACAUCACACCACAGUUAAUAAGAAGUUGAAAGAACGCGAGCAAACGCCCUCGAGUUUCUUUGCUUGCUAUUUCGGCCACGUAUAUCGGCGUUAGAACACAGAAUACACCGCCACAGAUGCCACAAAUAAAUCUUCCAAUAAGGAAUAAUACAACCUAGAAACAUAAUUUUAUUAAUAUUGCAAACGUAAUAUCCCAAAAAGUUUGAAAGAAAAAUAUUAUUUUAUUGCGAGUUAUCAAAAAGAAUGAUAAAACAAAGGAUUUGGUGUACACAUCUUCAGUGGUGUAUGUACUAUUUAUUUCGAAAUCUUUUU
rnacentral:misc_RNA from 1 species